rnacentral:rRNA from 1 species
AUUGAACGCUGGCGGCAGGCCUAACACAUGCAAGUCGAACGAGUGGCGGACGGGUGAGUAAUGUAUGGGAAUCUGCCUGAUGGAGGGGGAUAACUACUGGAAACGGUAGCUAAUACCGCAUACCAUCAGAUGUGCCCAUAUGGGAUUAGCUUGUAGGUGGGGUAACGGCUCACCUAGGCGACGAUCCCUAGCUGGUCUGAGAGGCUGACCAGCCACAAUGGAACGGAGACACGGUCCAGACUCCUACGGGAGGCAGCAGUGGGGAAGAGUGCACAAUGGGCGCAAGCCUGAGGCAGCCAUGCCGCGUGUAUGAAGAAGGCCUUCGGGUUGUAAAGUACUUUCAGCGGGGAGGCGUUACUGGCAGAAGAAGCACCGGCUAACUCCGUGCCAGCAGCCGCGGUAAUUC